AUGGGAAAGACUAGAGAUUUCUUCAAGAAAAUUAGAGUUACCAAGGGAACAUUUAAUGCAAAGAUGGGCUCAAUAAAGGACAUAAAUGGUAUGGACCUAACAGAAGCAGACGAUAUUAAGAAGAGGUGGCAAGAAUACACAGAAGAACUGUACAAACAAGAUCUUCACGACCCAGAUAAUCACAAUGGUGUGAUCACUCACCUAGAGCCAGACAUCCUGGAAUGUGAAGUCAAGUGGGCCUUAGAAAGCAUCACUAUGAACACAGCUAGUCGAAGUGAUGGAAUUCCAGUUGAGCUCUUUCAAAUCCUGAAAGAUGAUGCUGUGAAGGUUCUGAACUCAAUACGCCAGCAAAUUUGGAAAACUCAGCAGUGGCCACAGGACUGGAAAAGGUCAGUUUUCAUUCCAAUCCCAAAGAAAGACAACCCCCCAAAAUGCUCAAACUACUGCACAAUUGCACUCAUCUCACACGCUAGUGAAGUAAUACUCAAAAUUCUUCAAGCCAGGCUUCAGCAAUACGUGAACUGUGAACUUCCUGAUAUUCAAGCCAGGUUUAGAAAAGGCAAAGGAACCAGAGAUCAAAUUGCCAACAUCCACUGGAUCAUGGAAAAAGCAAGAGAGUUCCAGAAAAACAUCUAUUUCUGCUUUAUGAACUAUGACAAAGCCUUUGACUGUGUGGAUCACAAUAAACUGUGGAGAAUACUGAAAGAGAUGGGAAUACCAGACCACCUGACCUGCCUCUUGAGAAACCUGUGUACAGGUCAGGAAGCAACAGUUAGAACUGGACAUGGAACAACACACUGGUUCCAAAUAGGAAAAGGAGUACAUCAAGGCUGUAUAUUGUCACCCUGCUUAUUUAACUUCUACGCAAAGUACAAGAGAAACACUGUGCUGGAAGAAGCACAAGUUGAAAUCAAGAUUGCCGGGAGAAAUAUCAAUAACCUCAGAUAUAGCAAUAACCUCAGAUAUACAGAUGACACCUCCCUUAUGGCAGAAAGUGAAGAGGAACUAAAAAGCCUGUUGAUGAAAGUGAAAGAGGAGAGUGAAAAAGUUGGCUUAAAGUUCAACAUUCUGAAAACUAAGAUCAUGGCAUCUGGUCUCAUCACUUCAUGGGAAAUAGAUGGGGAAACAGUGGAAGCAGUGCCAGACUUUAUUUUGGGGGACUCCAAAAUCACUGCCGAUGGUGAUUGCAGCCAUGAAAUUAAAAGACUCUUACUCCUUGGAAGGGAAGUUAUGAACAACCUAGAUAGCAUAUUGAAAAGCAGAGAUAUUACUCUGCCAACAAAGGUCCAUCUAGUCAAGGCUAUGGUUUUUCCAGUAGUCAUGUAUGGAUGUGAGAGUAGGACUGUGAAGAAGGCUGAGCGCUGA
rnacentral:lncRNA from 1 species